GCUCGAAGGCCCCCGUGGAGGAGAAGUAAACAGAAAUGUUCAUAAAUAAUCAUUAGCUAGCAUUGGCACUAUUAAUUUGCUUUUUUUUUUUACAGUGAUCACUACACCAUGGCAGAUGGUGGCGAGUUGGAUAACUAUAUUAUAAUCUAUCCUACUGCCAGUAUGAUUUUUUCUUGCUUGAUGUGAAUUUUAUCGGUGUUUUAAAAGGCAAUCUAGCUACUAUAGCUAGCUAUGUCAAGGGGAUUUAUUAUGCUAUUUAAAUUGUAGUUAAUUGUUUUCCAGCAGCUAGGUCGAUUGCUAUUCAUGUUAUGCUUGUAAAUGAUUAGCUAGUUAUGUUGUACUGUUAUUCAAUCAAUUGUAGCAUUACUAACUAAAUCUCACUUAGCGACUGAAUUGUUGUUGAGAGAUUCAGCAAGGUAAUGUAAAACCAAACAAGUAGGGUGUUAUUUUUGGGUCGCAGCUGCUGGAAAUUCAAAGUUUGGGGGAGGAGAGAUACAGUGAGAAUAGAGAUUGAUGUGUGUGUGCACCAUUGAUAGUAAAAUAAUGUGCGUGCAUGAGAGAUCCUGUGCGCACUUGUCUGUGGUCAAAGGGCAGCUAUAACAGUUUCUCCCACUGAGACAAGAUACUACUGAGUCAGCAGGUCAACCCAGGACACAUGAGACGUGCAUUGGAUGAGCUGUUGAAGGAGACCAAUAGGGCUGGGUGCAAGCAGAAACCAUGGGUCCAGCAGGCUGGAUGAAGUAUCCGCUGCGCAGCACUAACAAGCGUUUCCUGCUCAACACCGUUCCACAGCGCCGCCCUGCUGGCCACUCAGGAGAACAGACAUCAAAUAGUAGGGGGCAGGACACCACCCAGAGACAAUUGGGAAUACAAAGACCACAGGGGACACAGGGACAAAGACAAUCAUAGAGACAGCCGAGAACUUUUGUCUCUUUUGUGUCCAUCUUUAAGACUAAGAUAGCAACACAGGCCAAGACAGCUACAAA